CAUUUGGCGAAGCUGGUUUUUAAAUGGACCACAAACACCACACGCUGUACUCGCACAGCACGGCUUACUCUUAAAAUAAAAACGGCUUUAACACGAACCUCAUGGAGAAAAAAAAAAUGAAACUACCACAUAUUUUGGUUGCUGCCACACAUAAGCCCUGAAAUGAAGGUGAAAGAUGAAACCAUUAACUUCAGCACAAGAGCGCAUCUGUAAAAGUGUCAGUUGACUUUAUUGGGAUCGGUUUCACUCAGUUGAAGAGAAAACAACUUUUGUCUUUGGAACGUUUAACUAGGAAGAAAGAACAAAUCUACAAAAUAAGUUGGAAGGACAGUAUAUAAAAACAAUGGCAUCAAGAAAACAUAACCAAAAAGGAAAAAAAGGCUCAAAUAUUUUUUGGAUGCAGAGCAUUUUUAUCGUUUUGCCCUUUUGUUUACAAAACAAUAACAAAAGAGAGGGUGUGGGUGGCAGGGAAGGGGGUAUUUACAGUGCAUAUAUUUACAUUAAGGCAUUUUUGCUGGGGAGAACGGCGGCUGUUCUAACAACCCCCACUUCUACACAAUCAAAUAAAUAGUCAGAUUUACCAUGAUACAUUACAGUGAUAUAUUAUCUUUAUGCUACCUGCAGUGAAGGAACAAAUACAGUUAUAUGUGCAGGCCAAACCAAACCAUCAAAAUGGACAUUCAAAUAUAUAUGUAUAUCAAAAAGGACAAUGUGGAAUUUUUCUCAAGUGUGUCCUGAAACAUUCUUCUCAUGCGGAGCUUUUGAUUGAUGCGACUGUUCCUCAUGUCUAAUAUCAUUGUGACGAGAUCCGUUGGCGAUGUUGUGCAGAAUCUUAGUUAAACUAAACUCAAAUUAUUACUUUGCAAAGUCAGUCUUGACUCUUUAGUAAAUUGAACACCCUCAUUGUGCUUUCACAAACACACACAACAGCUCAACAUCAACACAGUCGUGUUUCCACGCAACUGCCAAGCAAAUUUUUUGCUUUUUUGAAAUGUUGCAAAACAGAUAUGCAAAUGAGGCGCGUUUCUGUCAACUGGUCUGGAGAGAAUAAACAGCAGUAGUUGUGUACUCGCUUUGGCUGUAAUCCGCCAGUUAACAGAGUAAAAGAAGUACAACUUGAUAUUUAGCCUCUACAAAAGAAAAAAAAACUAUUAUUCGUCAAAUUAUUGGUUAAAUAUCCAAUAACAAGAUAUAAGACAAAUCUGCUGUCAAAUAACAUUUUAGUCAAAUCUUUGACAAUGCAUACCUUUUUAAAUGAUUAAAUACUACUUUUAUGGAUUACAGACUUAUGACACCUUCGAAUCCUCGUCAAAUGUCAAACAAGGAUCUUGAGGAACACUUGCAGCAACAAAUAACUUGCAAUGCCCAUGUGGGAAUGUUCUUUUAAGAAAGACUUGGAAAAAUGUGAUCUUAUCCUUUCAUAAAAUAUACGUCCAUGUUUGACUGACUGAUUGAGCCCCAUUGUAAGUUAGUUGUGUCACAGAGUGAAAGCCCCCACAGAGAGUCCCACAAAAUGAAUAAUCACAAUGAAUGAUGGGUAAACCUUGUCAUUUAAAACAAGAAAUCGAAAUAAAAAUUUCAAUAGAUUAGGAAAUAAAAAACAGCACCAUGUGUGUUUUAAAAAAAGGACUAAAUUGAUCACAGCUCUGCUACCACAAAACCACGUGAAUCAUAGAAGGAGGCACUUAAUAAGGUUUUUGUGAGGAAGAUGCUGCUUUGGUUAAAACAUUUUGAACACAAUAAACAUAAAACAAAUCUGGAUGAGAUGGAUGUAAAGUAAUCGAAGCAUUAUAAUUGAAACACGGUCAAUUCUGUUUAAACUGAAGGAAUUCUGCGCCUCUACUGGUUCUAUUACACUUCACAGGGUGGAAAUCCAUCCAAAGCCAUCAUGAAUCAUUCACCACCUAAUUGCUGCUCUCCAGCAGCCGUCCACCUUCCUCUGUUCCUCAGACGUCCUCUCGCUAAAAACUCAAAUCUCUUCCACUCAAACCCUCCCUCGUUUUUUUUUUUUCUUUUCCUGCGCUAUCUUCCCUCUCUCCAGAGUAUAAAUGCCUUCAAUUUUUAAUAUCUGAACAGCGAGGACUUGUGUGGCGUUCCCAGGCAGUCCAGUAGUGAUAAUAACGAUCGUUCCAGUGGUGAGUGAGACGAGAACGGGAAGCUCAGACUUACAACAAUUCUAGUGCAAACCAAAGGAUUUGGUUAAAAAAAAAACCUGGAUAUUCCAGUUAUAUGAACAAACCAAGGAGUUAAACAAAGAUUUGGCUUGACUAGUUUUGCAAACAAAAGCUUCUCCUUUAUAAGAAAAAUAUACUAAAACAAAGCCAGUUCUAUGUUAGAGGGACUUACGGGUUUGCAGUUUUUUUUUUUUUGCAGAGUCCAAUUGCACUGGAGACACAUUUUUUAAGCUACUGUUUUCCUUUUUGUUUUAACAUUUUCUCCCUUCUAUUCAUCCAAAAGAAAAUGUAUAUCAAGUAUAAAUGCAGAUUAGGGGGGCCGGGACUUCAUCUGCCCAUUAUCUUUCUACGACUUUCUACAACCUCAGAUUUGUCCCACUUUGGGUUAAGAGCAACACGCGCGUCGGGCCGUUUCAGCCCCGGAUAGCAGCACCAGGAGCGGCUGUGGCGUCAUCGGGCAGCUUGUAUCAUCGCUGCUGUGGGACAUGGAGUGAGUGCUUUGUGUGUGCGUGCUGCUAGUUCUGGUGUCUCUUCAUGUGCAGGGCGAGGUGGUCGGAUCGGGAGAAGGAGCGCGAGCAGACGGCGCACUGGAAGGGUUUGGCGCCCGUGUGCUUCCGGAAGUGACGCGUCAGCUCGUCCGAACGAGCGAAACGCCAGUCGCAGCUGUCCCACGUGCACCUGUACGGCUUCUCGCCUGCGGGACGAGAGAGAGAGAGAGAGAGAGAGUGGGGAUUUAGUGAGGCCGAGCGUGUCAUUGAUCAUUAUUGACGCAGACGUUGCAAUGAGUGACAUGAGUCAUACUGGGUGGGUGGAGGUACCGGCAAAACAGGCUCUACAGAAAAUUCAGUUUUCAAAAAAAACAAACAUAUACAGUCAUGUAACUGUCAGAUCAUCCGGCAACGCGGAGUUUCCCACGGCCGGCUCGCCUGUCGCACCGACAUUUCUCCGUGCCGGGGAGUAUCGCCGGCCUCUCUGAAGCUCCGUCAUUCUGAUGGUGUGCAGCCGCGGCUCCGGAGGCACUUUGUGAACAACUUGUGUGACCGGUUUCUUUUAAGCCCCCCCCCCCCUCCCCCCUCUCCCCCCCGCGUGCACACGCUCAGCGGCCCCGUUGGUGAGCGCAGAGGAUUCGUGGUGUCAACCCAUGCAGAUCAUCGGUCCAGGUUCCGAGAUAUUCUUCCGUCACAUUUGCGCCGCCGCCCAAAAAAUAACAAAGGCAAAUGGAAUUUACUGUGACACUAAAACAAUUAGACAACAAGAGCAGAUUACACCUCCAAGACAAGUCUUGACAACGCAUUUUCUUUAUGUGUUUAGCUUGCUGGGAUUUCUGGAUUUUUAUGAAAUAUGGCCAGGGACGUUAUUCUUGCUCGGCCAAAUCGGCCCACUUUUAAUCCUUGUUUCUUUAGGUGCGUUUUGAAAGAAUAGGUGAGACAAGCUCCUACUGAAGUCAACACGUUUUUCAUUUCGUUGAUCAAAGAGCACCUUACGAUGGAGCCACAGCUCUUUACAAGCAAAUUACAUUGGACUCAAAUGGAAAUAUCUGCUUUUGGAUAUUUCUUCCUCCGUUUGUCUAUUAACUUAUUUGAUUAAAAACACGUCGGGGUAUGUGUCUGCUAUUGGUAAUUCUGGGGCAAAUACCAAAUAAGAAUUCAACAACUGUGUCAUUCCAGAAACAUGCUCCAUAACUCCAGAUAGUCCACGUCUCCAUUUAAAAAAGAAAAGGAGAAAAAAACAACAGUGGAAAGCUCUUUGCAGCAUGGAUAUGAUUCAAUUCACCUCUAUGACAAGGAAGCAGAAGCGAUUGUCUAAAGGAUGCGUCUCAGAACCUGGACAAACUAAAACUGCCUGCUGCUGGAUACAUUACAGAAAACACGUGCUUUCUCCUCAUCGGUCUGAAGCAACCCUUUAAACAAGCACAGCAACUAACGCAGCGUCGCUACAACAACAACAACAACAACAACAACAACAACUGUAAGCGCCUGUCACGAAAUGAACCACAAUGUGGUUACAACAACACAACCUGAAACUGAGCACAAGUAGGAGACACAACGAAAAGGAAGGAAAAUAGAGCGAAGGGAACUGGGAGUGAUGUUCAGAUUUUACGCUAGCGAAAACACACACGCACUCCUGCACACACAGACACACAAACAAUCAGGGUAAUGGAUGUUGAUGGAGAUUAGAGUGGGAACUCCCACAGGCACCCGAAUGCAUUAGGCAUCAUCUCAUACGGAUUACUGACAGGUGUGUGUGUGGUGUGUGUGUGUGUGUGUGUGUGUGUGUGUGUGUGUGUGUGCAUUCAAGCAGCUAAAUAAGAAGUACAACGAGUAACAGACAAAGAUAGAAAUGGGGGGGUGAAGAUGGGAGCUUGGCACACGGCAGAAAAGACGAUGACUAUGAAUGAGAGCGAGGGUGAGAAAGUGGCUGCUGCAUCCCGCUCAGCGUUUCCCCCACCAUUAUAACACCCCCCCAUAUAUAUGUAUAUAUAUAAAUAGGUUUAAUUUGAAUAGGCCUGUCUACUACCCCCCCCUGAAGUUGUAAACCUAGGGGGAAACACUGCCUCUUCAUGCGUCCUCGCCUCGCGGUCUACAAUAUCCGCGAUAACCACAAACAGCCUGGAGCAUGAAUGACGCCGCAUCUAAUUGGCGUGUCAUGUUCCCAAAAGUGAAAUGCGAGGCACGCAACCAUGUUCUGUACGAACAGUUCCCAUUGGUAAAGGGAACGGACGAGUUUGCCGUGCGUGCAGAUGAGUGAGGAAUGCGUAGAUAUCAACAGAAGCUUUGUUUUGUUAGCUGCAGAGAGGCGGGGGCCAACACCUAAGCGCUUGUUUGUUGCCUUUGCUCAUCGAAAACUAAAUAGCUCAGAUCGAAAUGUGAAAAAGAGGGACACCGAUUAAGAGGACGACUAAACUAAAGAAGGAGGAGAACGGACACCGAGGUGCAAACGACGAUUAGAAGCGGAGCGAUUGGGGAGAUAUUUUUGUAUCUGCACACACACACACACGAUUUAUUUAUUUAUAGUGGCGAAGCGUAUUGGAGCUUUUAAAGCAUCCGAACACUUAAGAGAAACGCCAGCGUCCGUCCAGUGCUGACCACGUAGUCCGAGAGUCGUCCCCUGGCAGAAGUGUGUCACUUCCACCUGCUUUGAUGGAAUAGUAUAUUGGGCAGAGGAUGGGAAUGGGGUAGGAUACAUUUACACGCACAUGCCAGGAACACAACACUCUGCCCAGCAACACGGUGCCAGUGCAGAUACCAAAAUACCAGCCAUGUGGGCAGCGGCUUCUUUUUUUAAAUUUUUUAAAAUUAUUUUUAAAAUUAUUGACGAGUCCCAAUUUAAAAAGCUCCAUUGAUUGGAGGAACGUCUUACCCGUGUGAGUCCUGAGGUGGGCUUUCAGGUGGGACGACUUGGUGUAGACUUUCUUGCAGCCUGAGGACAGAGAUGGACACAAACAGAAGGCUCAAUCCCGGCGCGAAUCGUUCACCUGUCACUCGUGCAUUUGACCAACAGAGCUCGGCCGCGGUGUGAAAGGCCAACUGAUGGGGCAACAGAAGUUGUUUCCAAUGAGAUACAGGAAACUUUUUUUUCCUUUGGAGGCUUUCA
ensembl:lncRNA